AAUGCAUGAAUGAAUGUAUGAAUGGAAUGAAUGAAUGAAUGAAUGAAUGAAUGAAUGAAUGAAUGAAUGAAUGAGGACUGACACAAAAGUGAAUGAGCAGUAUGAAAUAAAGGUUAAUAUGGUUUGAUUAUACACACAUGGAUGGAGUUGAUGGGAUCCUCAAGAGAAAAAGACAAAAAGUUUAAAGAGCCAAAAGGAAAGGUAUGAAUCCGUGCAUGGGUGUAAUAGAAGCAAGAAGGACAUGCAAGAAUUGAAAGGUAUGGAGAAGUAUUGUGAAUCUCACUGAGUUCCAAAUAUUCCUUUUAAUGUAAGACAAUUCAUGGAACGAGGAGAAAUUUUGAAAUGUAUAUGUAUAUUUGUGUCUGUGUGUGUAUGUAUAUUUUCCGAUAGCAACCACGAGCGAUCGAUAGAUAGACAGACAGACAGACAGGCAGACCUUGCUUAGCUACCACAAUUGGGACCGGCAACUCUGUU